rnacentral:rRNA from 1 species
UGGAGCAAUCCAUGAGUACAGUGGCGUACGGGUGAGUAACACGUGGGUGAUCUACCUUUUAGUGAGGAAUAACCGAGGGAAACUUCGGCUAAUACCGCAUAAGCCUGAGAAGGGAAAGUCGAAAGACGCUGAAAGAGGAGCCCGCGGCCGAUUAGCUAGUUGGUGAGGUAAGAGCCCACCAAGGCAGAGAUCGGUAGCCGGCCUGAGAGGGCACACGGCCACACUGGCACUGAAACACGGGCCAGACUCCUACGGGAGGCAGCAGUGGGGAAUCUUGCACAAUGGGGGAAACCCUGAUGCAGCGACGCCGCGUGAGCGAUGAAGCCCUUCGGGGUGUAAAGCUCUUUCGUCAGGGAAGAUAGUGACGGUACCUGGAGAAGCAGCUGCGGCUAACUACGUGCCAGCAGCCGCGGUAAUACGUAGGCAGCAAGCGUUGUUCGGAGUUACUGGGCGUAAAGGGUGUGUAGGCGGUUCUUUAAGUUUGCUGUGAAAUCUCCCGGCUUAACCGGGAGGGUGCGGUGAAUACUGAGGGACUAGAGUACGGGAGAGGAAAGUGGAAUUCCUGGUGUAGCGGUGAAAUGCGUAGAUAUCAGGAGGAACACCGGUGGUGUAGACGGCUUUCUGGACCGACACUGACGCUGAGACACGAAAGCGUGGGUAGCAAACAGGAUUAGAUACCCUGGUAGUCCACGCCCUAAACGAUGCAUAUUUGGUGUGGGCAGUUCAUUCUGUCCGUGCCGGAGCUAACGCGUUAAAUAUGCCGCCUGGGGAGUACAGUCGCAAGGCUGAAACUCAAAGGAAUUGAC